UAUUGGAUAACCAAGAAUUAGCUGAAAAAUCUUGGAAUUUCAGAGUUCUUCUGGGAAUCCGAUUGAGGCAGCCGGAAGGAAUUUAUCACCACUUUUCCCGUUGAGUGCAAGGUUACGUGUUUGUCGCCUUCUCAUGGUUGUGACAAAUACUCGUUGAAUAUUUGAUACUCCGUCGUGAGAAACAAAAGCUUAUCAAGAGCACCAGGAUUGGGGGAAUAAAAUGCCUGGGUCAUAUUUCUGUCAUCCAGAUUGCGAGAGAAGGUUAUCCAAGUCAAACAAAGACGACACAUCCAGAGAUAGACAAAGUCAAAGAUUCCAUAUAAAUUUUAUGUAAUUGUUAAAGAUGUAUAUUUUAUCUUAUUGUAAAGGACCAAAAUGGUCACAUGUAAAAGUUAUGUAAAAGGACCUACAAGGUCACAUGAUGUAAUGCGAUAGGAAGUCGCUAUGCAAUGUAACUAACAUAAAGAAAAGAAGAGAAAAAUUACUAACCCACUAACAUGCUUGAUUUACUUUCUGUAGAUUAGAUUUCUUUUUUCGCAUGCAUGCAUGUUUGUAUUUAAUUUGCAGUUAGUUGAUUUAAUUAUGCAUUUGCAUGUUAAUCUAUCACAUAAUAACUCAUGAACACGAUUUACUUCUACGCAUGCAUGCACUUAAAUUGAUAACAUAAAUAAUUAUGGUUUUGCAUGUUAUUUAAUCUUCAUGCGCACCUCUUUUUUCUACUUUUACUGCAUGCACAUUUAGUUUCGCAUGUUAGUCUUGAGAUGCAUGGAUGAUCAGUUUACUUAUCUAUUAUUUGCAUGUCAAUUAAUGUAAAUUUUGCAUGUGCAUUAAUAGUUAAAUUAUUUUUUAUUGUAACUGUGAGUUAAAUGAUGGCUUAACCAGGGUUAGGACAAGCGGGUCCUUACAUAAUUGCUUCAUAUAAUAGAAUAUGCCAAAAUGCAUAUUUUGUAAGUACAUUAAAAAAAACACCCUAGAAAAAGCGGUUGGAGGUGGCUACCAUAAAUAACUCCCUGAAACUUGAGUAGCAGGCCUGAAGAAAUAUGGCUAGGUCACUUCCCUACUACAGCACCUGUCACCAUCUAAACUCUGACUCUAGAGACUAUACUUCACUGGGCUUCUUUCAUGCUAGUUGUGUGAUCACAGCUUCUUCCAAAAAUAGAACCUAUCAAAAAUAAUAAGGGGGACACAAAAUAGGCAUAGCAUUUACUCCUCUUCUUCUUCUGGUUUCUCUUCUUCCAAUGAGCAAUACUUUUUGUGCCAUCUAUCGAUGUCAUUUGUUGGCCAGACGAAAGACUUCAAAUUUUGCAGCCUAUUCAUAGCAUCCUUGGUUUUGUGGGUUGGUACAACUACAACUUCCACAAUGAAUUUAUGAUACAACUGGUCAACAUCAAGAAUUUUACCAAUAAUCAAAUGACAUGAAUCUUGCUUAUUGGGGUCCCCAACAAGCAACUUCGAGACUACAUCAAUUGAUUCUUGAAAAUCCACUUGCCACCUAUCAAAGUCUUUCAUAUGCCCAUCUUCUGUCAAAAUUGAAGAAAUGUCCUCCUUUUGUAGGCCCUUGAAGAAAUCCAAUCUUUCUUGUAUUUUUUUACUUUCCUCCUCAACAUGUGGCAACUCUUUAAUCACCAGAUUAUAAUUUUUCCAUGUGGCACUUCCAGCUAGAGGAGUAUUAGGCAUAUUCUUUACUGCCAAAAGAAUCUCUGAAAGAUCCCAGAUGGAUCCCCUUGCUGAUCCGUUGUAAUUUUUAAAAUAAUAAACUAUAUUUUUCCUGUGA